GACAGAGGGUGCAAGCGUUGUUCGGAAUUACUGGGCGUAAAGCGCGUGUAGGCGGCUCUGCAAGUCAGGUGUGAAAUCCCACGGCUCAACCAUGGAAGUGCACUUGAAACUGCAGGGCUAGAGUCCUGGAGAGGAAGGUGGAAUGCUUGGUGUAGAGGUGAAAUUCGUAGAUAUCAAGCGGAACACCGGUGGCGAAGGCGGCCUUCUGGACAGUGACUGACGCUGAGACGCGAAAGCGUGGGGAGCAAACAGG
rnacentral:rRNA from 1 species